AUGAUGUCUGGACCUCCUCCAGUGCUAUUAUCUUGGGCCUUUGCUAUAUGUUCUAGUACGGGUAGGCAGGGCAGCAGACUGCCUUGUCAUCCUCCUGACAGCAAGGCCAAACACAUGUGCUGCUCUGGCUUGUCUGUCCCUCUUCCCUUACUGCAUGAAAAGACAGGCUGCUGGUACCUUUGCCAUACAUAUCAUAUCGGUCAUUUCCAGAGGCUGUUUCUGAUCGUCUGCCUAUCUCUCACCUACUUUGCCUACCUGAUCAAAGCGCAGCCCGACGACCCCGAGUCGCAGAUGGCCUGCCACGUUUUCCGCGCCACAGACCCCAACCAGGAGUAGGCUUCAUACAGAGUAGGCUCUGGCCACCCUUGAAAUCAGAAGGAGGAAGACCUGCUGUUUGCUUUUUCCUGAGUUCUUCAUUUGAAGCGCAGCCUUGUUUGGCUGGAUUUAAGAUCAUUGUUAAGAGAUCCUCCUGUUUUCUGCAUUCAUUAAACAAAGCCUGGAAGGUGGCUUAGAGGGGCCUGCAGGCCUCUCCCAAUCAGCAUGCCUCUGCUUUGUCUCUCCUACCUGUUGCUUUUCUGCAAUGGACCUAACUGUAGGAUGUGAUUUAUUCAUUUUUUGGCAAUUUUUAUUGUGAAAGAUGCCUCACUAAUAAUUACACGAGCAUAACAAGUUACAAACUUGGACUAUUCAGGACAAACCCGUGUGUGAGUUCACUAUAGCUAAAUGACAAAGUUUGUAGUGGGACAAGGUGUCACAUGCAUAUGGUCCCAGCUACUACUCCAGGGCUGAGGCAGGAGGAUGAUUGAGUUCAAGGCUAGCCUAGACAAAUAAUAAGAUCCCAUAAAAAGAGGCAGUCUCCUUUCAUGCUGAGCCACUGAGUUGUGAUUUCUAAUAGAAAUCACUCAAAUGUCCUUUGACAUUUCUAAUAGAAAUCACUCAAUGUCCUUUUGAGGGUGGAUCUCCUUGUGACCACAGAGCUGGGAUGUAACUUACUGGAUAUGUCAACUAAAAAUGUCAUUCAUAUGUUACUUUAAGAUUCUGAUGUUGUUUAUCUGUCUGAGUAGCUCUUUAAAACUUUUUUUAAAAAACUGAACAUUUAUUCUUUGAAAAUAAACUCUUGAUGGGUGAUGGUACUGUUCUCCUUUUCCUAGAUUUUUGCAUUUUAAAUUCACAGUAAUUGUGUAAUGUACGGUACCAGUAUUUCCCCCAUUUUACAGAUAAGAAAACUUGACUCCAGUCAGUCUUAUGUUAUUCUUCUUUGCAUCGUCUAGCAGCUGCUGGAUUGAUUUCUCAUGUUCCUUUACAAUUUUAAAGCAAUUUUUCUUUUCCUGAUCACUAAUUGCAAUCUUUUCUUCUAUAUCUGAAAUUCUAUCCUCACAUUGGUUCAUUCUGCUACACAGACUUUUGAUGGAGUUUUUAAUCUCCUGGAAAUCUGUUUGCAUCUGUUUUAUGGAUUCCAUUUGUUUCCUAUGUUGGGAUUCCAUCAUGUUCCUCAGAUCCUCUAUUUUUUUAUCUGUGUCCUCUCUAGAUUUAUUAAUCAUGUCUUGCGCCAUGAGCAAAAUCUUUGCUGUUAUCUGAGUAAUUAUUUCUGAUUUCACUUUUCCCAGAUCCUCUUUUGUUGCCAGUUCAGGGAGUCCAGGUAGUUGAGUAUCGGAUUGUUCCAUCUCGUUUCCCUUUGGGGUUGCUGUAGGUGAUCCAGAAAUCUGUUUUUGAGUCUUGUUUACGUGUCUUCUCAUUUCGACGGUGGGGGGGGUGCUUCUGGCACCUGUGCAGCCCACCUUCUCUGCCCUAGGAGCUUGGGAUGGUGGUGGGGGAGCUUCCUUCUAGGUGCUGGGACCGGCUCACCUUCUCUGCCCUAGGAGCUUGGGAUGGUGGCAGGGGAGCUUCCUUCCGGGUGCUGGGACCAGGUCAGCUUCUCUGCCCUAGGAGCUUGGGAUGGCGGCCUAGAUUUAUUUUAAAGCUAUCAGUAAUCAUUACAGCCUGACAGUUGUUUUUGUUUGUUCUUUAAAGGAGGAAGGUGUGAUAAUUAUCUACAGAUAAGAAAACUGAGGUAUAGAAAGGUCAGAUUAUUUCCACAAGGUCACAAGACUUGUUAUGAAUAGAAGGAGACUGCACUCCAGACAUAUUCUAAAGCCUGUUUUCUUCCUUGCUAUGGUAGGAUGCAGUUUUUGAAAUUAGUUUUUUAGUUGUCAGUGUUAUAAACUUCUAUGCUGUCACUUUUCCUUCUCAUAUUAAAGCCACAAUGGUUAAUUAUACUUGUUAAAUUUGUAAAAUAAUUAAUGCUGAAUAUGUAUUUGGAUAUAGUUAUCCUGUAUGUACUCUCUGUACUCCCAGGCUGGGAUUGAACCCAGAGCAGUUGAGAAUACUAGGUAAGUACUUUACCACUAAGUUGCAACCUUGCCCCAGUAUGUACUUUUUAAAAAAUUUGAAAAUUUUUCUUUUAAGAGAAAAUGUGGUUUUUAUACACAAUGGAGUACUACUUUGCCAUAAAGAGGGUUAAACUUGAGACAUUUUGGGUGAAUAGAUGCACCUCAAGAACAUAAUUUUAAGUGAAAUAAAGCAAACACACAUGUUUAAAUACUUCAUUGUUUCUCUUGUGUGAGAAACCCAGAGUUAUAAGGAGCAAAAUGGAGGACAGAUAUGGGAAGUAGGAAGCAAAUGUUCAAAUGGGAAGGGGAACAAGGGAGAGGGGCAGGAGAAGGAAAAAAGGGAAUAAAGAUUGAAAAAAAAAGAAUGGAAGGAAAACAAUGGAAACAAAA
rnacentral:lncRNA from 1 species